rnacentral:tRNA from 1 species
GGUUGUGGCUCAGUGGUAGAGCACUUGUCUAACACUUGCGAGGCCCUGGGUUCGAUCCUCAGCACCA